rnacentral:rRNA from 1 species
AGGGUUUAACUGUCUCUUUUUUUCGGUCAAUGAAACUGAUCUGCCCGNGCAGAAGCGGGCAUACCCACACAAGACGAGAAGACCCUAUGGAGCUUUAGACGCUCACCAACCACUAAAAGAGACCCGAUCUAACGGGCUUUCAAACAAUGUGGCCCUGGUAUAAACGUCUUCGGUUGGGGCGACCGCGGAGGAGAGAAAAGCCUCCGANAGGAUUGGGGGAAACCCUANAACCAAGAGCCACAGCUCUNAGUCACAAAAUAUUUGACCGACNNCGAUCCGGCUUCUUGCCGAUCAACGNNNCNAGUUACCCUAGGGAUAACAGCGCAAUCCCCUCCCAGAGNCCNUAUCGACGAGGGGGUUUACGACCUCGAUGUUGNAUNANGACAUCCUAAUGGNGNAGCCGNUAUUA